AUGCUCCUCCGGCGACCACUUCAGACGCUCACCCCCCCCCUCCUCCGCCGGCACUUCUCCGCCUCCGCCGCAGCGGUUUCCGCGCCAGAUCACAACAUCGACGAACUCCUAUCGCCGCCGUUCGACUACCUCCCUGGUCACCCGCGGCCGGACGCGAAGCACGACGAGGUGAUCUUCGCCGUCCCGAGGGACUCCUCUGGCCGGCACUUCGCGGCCAAGGAACGCAAGGCUGGGCGUGUGCCGGCCAUCGUCUUCGAGCAGGAGAAUGGCCAGGAGGGCGGCAACAAGCGCCUCGUCUCGGUGCCGUCCAAGCAGAUCCGCAAGCUCGUCGACCACCUCGGACGGUCCUUCUUCCUCUCCCGCCUCUUCCGUCUCCAGGUUUGGUCCGAGCACGCCGGGCAGGGGGACCUCAUCGAGAGCGUCCGCGUCCUGCCGCGCAAGGUGCACUUGCACGCAGGCACUGAUGAACCUCUGAAUGUGACAUUCAUGAGAGCACCUUCUUCGGCGCUGCUCAAAAUAGAUGUUCCUUUAAUGUACAUUGGAGAGGACGCCUCACCUGGCCUCAGGAAAGGAGCUUACUUCAACACCAUAAAACGAACUGUCAAGUUUCUCUGCCCUGCUGACAUAGUCCCACCAUACAUUGAAGUGGACCUAAGCGAGUUGGACGUCGGGCAGAAACUGCUGAUGCGCGAUCUGAUAGUCCACCCGGCGCUGAAAUUGCUUCAGUCGCCAGAUCAACCCAUCUGUAGCAUUAUAGGGUCAAGAGCCCCCGACCAGAAGAAAGAGAAAUCAAAAUAA
rnacentral:rRNA from 1 species